GAUGAACGCUGGCGGCGUGCCUAAUACAUGCAAGUCGAGCGAACAGACGAGGAGCUUGCUCCUCUGACGUUAGCGGCGGACGGGUGAGUAACACGUGGAUAACCUACCUAUAAGACUGGGACAACUUCGGGAAACCGGAGCUAAUACCGGAUAAUAUAUUUAACCGCAUGGUUCAAUAGUGAAAGACGGUUUUGCUGUCACUUAUAGAUGGAUCCGCGCCGCAUUAGCUAGUUGGUAAGGUAACGGCUUACCAAGGCAACGAUGCGUAGCCGACCUGAGAGGGUGAUCGGCCACACUGGAACUGAGACACGGCCCAGACUCCUACGGGAGGCAGCAGUAGGGAAUCUUCCGCAAUGGGCGAAAGCUUGACGGAGCAACGCCGCGUGAGUGAUGAAGGUCUUCGGAUCGUAAAACUCUGUUAUUAGGGAAGAACAAAUGUGUAAGUAACUAUGCACGUCUUGACGGUACCUAAUCAGAAAGCCACGGCUAACUACGUG
rnacentral:rRNA from 1 species